GGUUUUUCUGACUAGAUAUUUGGGGAUCAGUGUAUAUAGGUUAAGAACGCAGAAUACAAGAACAAUUUUACGGACACAUGAUAAAGGAUAAAUAUUUAAGAUAUACAGACUACACGCAAUAUAAGAGAUUACACCUAUCAGUCGCAAUGCCAAUCCCAUCAGAAACAAAAAACACAAAGACAACGGAUAGUGAUGAAGCCACUCGUUCAUACCGCACGUGUACCUCGUGUAAACAGAGACCCAAGACAAUGUUACUUCUGCCGUGCAGCCAUCUGGCGGCCUGUGAGCAAUGUGUCGCCGACCUCAGCUGUUGUCCGAUGUGCUUUAGAAGUGUUAGCUGCGUUAUACGGACGUUUAUAAUCUAAUUUGUGCGAAUGUAAAUUUAGCGCGAGACUGUCGAUACGUGCGUGUGUGGAAUUAUGUUGUUUUGACAGAGAAUCUGGUAUGUGUAUUGAAUGAUACUUUGUUAAGGCAUUGAAUCUGGAAUGUGUGUGGAAUUAUACGUUUUUUGACAGAUAAUCUGGUAUGUGUGUGGAAUGAUACGUUGUUUUGACAAAUAAUCUGGUAUGUGUGUGGAAUGAUAGUUACGUUUUGGCAGAGAAUCUGGUACAUGUGUGGAAUGAAACAUUAGUAAAGCAGAAAAUCUGGUUUGGUUGUUUGACUGUGUUGUUUGUUUUCAAUUCAAUUCAUGGGUCUAUGUAUUUGUAGACAACUUUGUCUUUUCCAUUAUCCUUUUGUCGAACUAAGUCAUACACAUUUAUUCAUAAUUGUUAUGUUGUCACAAUGAACAGUCUUACAAUAAUGUGCACCGUGUUUAUUGAAGGAAGCCUUUUUGAACAUAUUUCUAGAGCAUUUGUAGGUUACACAAAAUAUAAUUACCCGGUAUAAACAAGUCAAUGGCCAUAAAACUCAAUGUUUGACGUUUAGUAAAGAUCUAGUCGUUCAGUUACACAAUUGGAAUAAUAAUGAAGCAUACAUAAAACAAAGGUUCUCAAAACAAUGAAAUCGAAUAAUUUUUAUAAUAAACAUGCAUUAAAUAUAUGAAAUUUAGACCCGUUGGUACAUGUAUAUCAAUUAUAUGUAGUGAAACUAUAUUAAGAACACGAGGAUAUUGGGAUCC